UACAGAGGGGGCAAGCGUUGUUCGGAAUUACUGGGCGUAAAGGGCGCGUAGGCGGCCUGUUAAGUCGGACGUGAAAUCCCUCGGCUCAACCGGGGAACUGCGUCCGAUACUGGCGGGCUUGAAUUCGGGAGAGGGAUGUGGAAUUCCAGGUGUAGCGGUGAAAUGCGUAGAUAUCUGGAGGAACACCGGUGGCGAAGGCGGCAUUCUGGACCGACAUUGACGCUGAGGCGCGAAAGCCAGGGGAGCAAACGGG
rnacentral:rRNA from 1 species